AACAAGAGAGCACUGGGAGAAGAGCCAAUGAAAUGUAUGGAGUGGACGAUAUGUUGAAUGAGGGGACUGGAGGAACAAGUAUCACCUUGCGGUUCGGGAGAGUUAGAGGCUAAUGGCAGGCUUGUGGACGACUGCGGGAAGGACACGUGGCUGCUGAAUGAGCGUUCGUGCCCAGGUUAGGAAGAACAGUGCCUAAUCUCAUCACCAAGGCUGCAUUCACUUGGAGUUAUUCAUUGGUGGGUAUUUUUUAACACAG
rnacentral:lncRNA from 1 species